AAAUUAUUCAUUUAUUCUUAUUUGGAAAACAAAACGACAUAACGAACGGACGAAAGAUUGAGAAUGAAAGUUGUGUUGGUUGUUUUAUUGGUGUUAUCGUUAGCGGUAUCAGAUGUGGAAUGUGGCUUUCGUCGUUUUGUCAGAAGACUUCCAAAUACUAAUUUCGAUGGUAAACGUGAAGUUGAGGUAAUAAGUAACCACGAAGAAUAUGAACGUCAGCUAAUCCCUACCGCUUGACCCUUAAAUAUUUGAUUGAUGGUGUGUGGCCGAUUCCAUUCAAAGUGAAUAUUAAACAUACAUUAUGCAAGAGCUAAAUCUGCCUAUUACAGGUCUUUCUUUAGGCCUGAAAUGUUUUCUAAAUUAUUAAUUAGACAUUAAUUAACCUAUCCAUGCCAUAAUAAACUCUCAAUUGUAUCGGGUUUUUCUGAUAUUAAAUAGAUUAGAACAGUUCAGCCAUAUUUUGAUUUAAGCUAAAAAUGGAGGAGCAAGACGUAGCUUCGAACAACCAGUACGGUGGUUGAAAUUAUUGCACACGUCUUGUCAACACCUUCAAAGGCUAAUAACUUCGCUCGCAAUAGAGUAAUUUGAAUGAAAUUUUCAAAUUAUUCAUUUUACAUUAUCUAUAUUCGAACUAUUAUAACAAGAAUUGCUAGCUCUUUAUCCAAAUCUUACAUAUUGUAUCUUUAAUAAAAUA